rnacentral:rRNA from 1 species
UACGUAGGGGCCAAGCGUUGUCCGGAUUUAUUGGGCGUAAAGAGCUCGUAGGCGGUUCGGUAAGUCAGCUGUGAAAUCUCCACGCUCAACGUGGAGGGGUCAGCUGAUACUGCCGUGACUUGAGUCUGGUAGGGGAGUGCGGAAUUCCCGGUGUAGCGGUGAAAUGCGCAGAUAUCGGGAGGAACACCAGUGGCGAAGGCGGCACUCUGGGCCAGCACUGACGCUGAGACGCGAAAGCGUGGGGAGCGAACAGG